AGAGUUUGAUCCUGGCUCAGGAUGAACGCUGGCGGCGUGCCUAAUACAUGCAAGUCGAGCGAACGGACGAGAAGCUUGCUUCUCUGAUGUUAGCGGCGGACGGGUGAGUAACACGUGGAUAACCUACCUAUAAGACUGGGAUAACUUCGGGAAACCGGAGCUAAUACCGGAUAAUAUUUUGAACCGCAUGGUUCAAAAGUGAAAGACGGUCUUGCUGUCACUUAUAGAUGGAUCCGCGCUGCAUUAGCUAGUUGGUAAGGUAACGGCUUACCAAGGCAACGAUGCAUAGCCGACCUGAGAGGGUGAUCGGCCACACUGGAACUGAGACACGGUCCAGACUCCUACGGGAGGCAGCAGUAGGGAAUCUUCCGCAAUGGGCGAAAGCCUGACGGAGCAACGCCGCGUGAGUGAUGAAGGUCUUCGGAUCGUAAAACUCUGUUAUUAGGGAAGAACAUAUGUGUAAGUAACUGUGCACAUCUUGACGGUACCUAAUCAGAAAGCCACGGCUAACUACGUGCCAGCAGCCGCGGUAAUACGUAGGUGGCAAGCGUUAUCCGGAAUUAUUGGGCGUAAAGCGCGCGUAGGCGGUUUUUUAAGUCUGAUGUGAAAGCCCACGGCUUAACCGUGGAGGGUCAUUGGAAACUGGAAAACUUGAGUGCAGAAGAGGAAAGUGGAAUUCCAUGUGUAGCGGUGAAAUGCGCAGAGAUAUGGAGGAACACCAGUGGCGAAGGCGACUUUCUGGUCUGUAACUGACGCUGAUGUGCGAAAGCGUGGGGAUCAAACAGGAUUAGAUACCCUGGUAGUCCACGCCGUAAACGAUGAGUGCUAAGUGUUAGGGGGUUUCCGCCCCUUAGUGCUGCAGCUAACGCAUUAAGCACUCCGCCUGGGGAGUACGACCGCAAGGUUGAAACUCAAAGGAAUUGACGGGGACCCGCACAAGCGGUGGAGCAUGUGGUUUAAUUCGAAGCAACGCGAAGAACCUUACCAAAUCUUGACAUCCUUUGACAACUCUAGAGAUAGAGCCUUCCUCUUCGGGGGACAAAGUGACAGGUGGUGCAUGGUUGUCGUCAGCUCGUGUCGUGAGAUGUUGGGUUAAGUCCCGCAACGAGCGCAACCCUUAAGCUUAGUUGCCAUCAUUAAGUUGGGCACUCUAAGUUGACUGCCGGUGACAAACCGGAGGAAGGUGGGGAUGACGUCAAAUCAUCAUGCCCCUUAUGAUUUGGGCUACACACGUGCUACAAUGGACAAUACAAAGGGCAGCGAAACCGCGAGGUCAAGCAAAUCCCAUAAAGUUGUUCUCAGUUCGGAUUGUAGUCUGCAACUCGACUACAUGAAGCUGGAAUCGCUAGUAAUCGUAGAUCAGCAUGCUACGGUGAAUACGUUCCCGGGUCUUGUACACACCGCCCGUCACACCACGAGAGUUUGUAACACCCGAAGCCGGUGGAGUAACCUUUUAGGAGCUAGCCGUCGAAGGUGGGACAAAUGAUUGGGGUGAAGUCGUAACAAGGUAGCCGUAUCGGAAGGUGCGGCUGGAUCACCU
rnacentral:rRNA from 1 species